rnacentral:rRNA from 1 species
CCUACGGGAGGCAGCAGUGGGGAAUUUUCCGCAAUGGGCGCAAGCCUGACGGAGCAAGACCGCGUGAGGGCGGAAGGCCUUUGGGUUGUAAACCUCUUUUCUCAGGGAAGAAGACAGUGACGGUACCUGAGGAAUCAGCCUCGGCUAACUCCGUGCCAGCAGCCGCGGUAAU